UACGGAGGGUGCGAGCGUUGUCCGGAAUCACUGGGCGUAAAGGGCGCGUAGGCGGCCUGAUAAGUAGGGGGUGAAAUCCUGAGGCUUAACCUCAGGGCUGCCUUCUAAACUGUCAGGCUCGAGCACAGUAGAGGCAGGUGGAAUUCCCGGUGUAGCGGUGGAAUGCGUAGAUAUCAGGAGGAACACCGGUGGCGAAGGCGGCUUUCUGGACAGAAACUGACGCUGAUGCGCGAAAGCUAGGGGAGCAAACAGG
rnacentral:rRNA from 1 species